rnacentral:rRNA from 1 species
UACAGAGGGUGCAAGCGUUAAUCGGAAUUACUGGGCGUAAAGCGCGCGUAGGUGGUUGUGUAAGUUGGAUGUGAAAGCCCCGGGCUUCACCUGGGAAUGGCAUGGGAAACUGGCGGGCUGGAGUGUGGCAGAGGGGGGUGGAAUUCCGCGUGUAGCAGUGAAAUGCGUAGAGAUGCGGAGGAACACCGAUGGCGAAGGCAGCCCCCUGGGCUAACACUGACGCUCAGGCACGAAAGCGUGGGGAGCAAACAGG